rnacentral:rRNA from 1 species
UACGUAGGGUGCAAGCGUUAUCCGGAAUUAUUGGGCGUAAAGAGCUCGUAGGCGGUUUGUCGCGUCUGCUGUGAAAACUGGAGGCUCAACCUCCAGCCUGCAGUGGGUACGGGCAGACUAGAGUGCGGUAGGGGAGAUUGGAAUUCUUGGUGUAGCGGUGGAAUGCGCAGAUAUCAGGAGGAACACCAAUGGCGAAGGCAGAUCUCUGGGCCGUAACUGACGCUGAGGAGCGAAAGCAUGGGGAGCGAACAGG